rnacentral:tRNA from 1 species
GCCGGAGUGGCGGAACAGGUAGACGCCCGGGACUUAAAAUCCCGUGGGAGUUUCUCCCGUACCGGUUCGAGCCCGGUCUCCGGCACCA